GAUGCUCUUUCUCGCCGUGAUGCUCCUGCCGGCCAGGCACUCGCCAUAUCCGGGCCUUCUUUUGAUCUGUUUGAAGCUCUCCGUCAGGCUGCACACACGGACCCGGCGCUUGUCACUUUCCGGGAACAACUAGAAUCUGGUGAGUUAGGACAACCUUGGGCUCUUGUUGAUGGUGUUGUUACCUUCCAACAGCGGGCUUAUGUACCACCCGCGUCGCCGCUGCUCGGGGAGGUCCUGGCUGCAGCCCAUGAUGCGGGCCAUGAAGGUAUCCAGAAGUCACUUCAUCGUCUUCGCCGGGAUUUCCAUCUGCCGCAAGCAAGGGCCGCACUUCAGCAGUAUAUUCGUGCUUGUCAGGUUUGUCAACGCAACAAGACGGAGCAGCUUCAUCCAGCCGGGUUAUUGCAGCCCUUGACAGUGCCCUCUUGUGUCUGGGAAGACAUCUCCAUGGAUUUCAUUGAGGCACUUCCGAAGGUGGGCGGCAAAAGUGUGAUACUGACCGUUGUGGACCGUUUCUCCAAGUAUGCGCAUUUCAUCCCCUUGGCGCAUCCGUACACUGCGGAGUCUGUUGCUAAAGCCUUCUUCUCCAACAUUGUCCGACUUCAUGGGUUUCCCACAUCCAUCGUUUCGGACAGGGAUGUGGUUUUCACUUCGGGCUUUUGGAAGGCUCUGUUUGCCGCCGCGGGGACACGCUUGCACAUGAGUUCGGCCUUCCAUCCGCAGUCUGAUGGGCAAUCUGAGGCUGUCAAUCGCGUCAUCACCAUGUACCUCCGUUGCAUAACUGGGGAUCGCCCACGACAGUGGCUCCAAUGGUUGCCUUGGGCAGAGUACUGCUACAACACU
rnacentral:rRNA from 1 species